rnacentral:rRNA from 1 species
CAAUAGCGUAUAUUAAAGUUGUUGCAGUUAAAAAGCUCGUAGUUGGAUUUCGGGGUGGCCUGGCUGGUCCGCCGCAAGGUGAGUACUGGUCAGCCGCCCUUCCUCUCGAAAGCCCCGACUGCUCUUUACUGCAGUGGUCGGGUAGUUCGGGACGUUUACUUUGAAAAAAUUAGAGUGUUCAAGGCAGGCUAUCGCCUGAAUACAUUAGCAUAGAAUAAUGGAAGAGGACCUCGGUCCUAUUUUGUUGGUUUCUAGGGCCGAAGUAAUGAUUAAGAGGGACAGUUGGGGGCAUUCGUAUUUAAUUGUCAGAGGUGAAAUUCUUGGAUUUAUGAAAGACGAACUAGUGCGAAAGCAUUUGCCAAGGAUGUUUUCAUUAA